GACGAACGCUGGCGGCGUGCUUAACACAUGCAAGUCGAACGGAAAGGCCCUGCUUUUGUGGGGUGCUCGAGUGGCGAACGGGUGAGUAACACGUGAGUAACCUGCCCUUGACUUUGGGAUAACUUCAGGAAACUGGGGCUAAUACCGGAUAGGAGCUCCUGCUGCAUGGUGGGGGUUGGAAAGUUUCGGCGGUUGGGGAUGGACUCGCGGCUUAUCAGCUUGUUGGUGGGGUAGUGGCUUACCAAGGCUUUGACGGGUAGCCGGCCUGAGAGGGUGACCGGCCACAUUGGGACGGAGAUACGGCCAAGAACCCUACGGGAGGUAGCAGUGGGGAAUAUUGCACCAUGGGCGGAAGCCUGAUGCUGCAACGCCGCGUGCGGUAUGACGGCAUUCGGGUUGUAAACCGCGUUCGCCUGUGACGAAGAGUGAGUGACGGUAAUGGGUAAAGAAGCACCGGCUAACUACGUG
rnacentral:rRNA from 1 species